UACGUAGGGUGCAAGCGUUGUCCGGAAUUAUUGGGCGUAAAGGGCGCGUAGGCGGCCAUGCGUGUCUUCCGUGAAAUCCCUCGGCUUAACUGAGGACGUGCGGAAGAAACUGCAAGGCUCGAGUCCGGGAGAGGGGGGUGGAAUUCCCAGUGUAGCGGUGAAAUGCGUAGAUAUUGGGAGGAACACCGGUGGCGAAGGCGGCCCCCUGGACCGGUACUGACGCUGAGGCGCGAAAGCGUGGGUAGCAAACAGG
rnacentral:rRNA from 1 species